rnacentral:rRNA from 1 species
GAUGAACGCUGGCGGCGUGCUUAACACAUGCAAGUCGAACGAUGAAGCCCAGCUUGCUGGGUGGAUUAGUGGCGAACGGGUGAGUAACACGUGAGCAACCUGCCCCUGACUCUGGGAUAAGCGCUGGAAACGGCGUCUAAUACUGGAUAUGUCCCGUCACCGCAUGGUGUGCGGGUGGAAAGAUUUUUCGGUUGGGGAUGGGCUCGCGGCCUAUCAGCUUGUUGGUGAGGUAAUGGCUCACCAAGGCGUCGACGGGUAGCCGGCCUGAGAGGGGGACCGGCCACACUGGGACUGGGACACGGCCCAGACUCCUACGGGAGGGAGCAGUGGGGAAUAUUGCACAAUGGGCGAAAGCCUGAUGCAGCAACGCCGCGUGAGGGAUGACGGCCUUCGGGUUGUAAACCUCUUUUAGCAGGGAAGAAGCGAAAGUGACGGUACCUGCAGAAAAAGCACCGGCUAACUACGUGCCAGCAGCCGCCGUAACAC